GAUUUGAAUUUCUUGGUGAAUUUAUUUUCAACAAACUUAUGAAAAUUAACAAAGCAUUGAAAUAAUUCAGAUUUCUUUCUCAAGAGAAAUAUCCAGGAAAACCUUGAAAACUCAUCAAUGAACAAAGCAUAAUACAGAAAACCUUGUACUGACAAGACUGGGGCUGGACCCCAUAAGUCACAAUGAAUUCUACUAAACAGAUUAUUAGUAGUUUCAUGAGAAUUAGCAGAAGGCAAUCGACAUGAUUUGCCCAUUUGACAACUAGAGCAUAGAGUAGCUGCUUUAUUGACUGAGUUUCCAUGAAUGAGAUUAUUCUUUUGAAGAAAAUCCACUAUCUUGCACUGAGGAUGUCCCAAUCGUUGAUGCCAAACUUCAGCACUACCUUUGCGGAAUUGGUUUGAGAAGAAAGCAAACUAUCUACUGUCAUCAGGUAUCACCGAAUAGAUGUCCCCCACUGUGUUUUCCUGCAGCAAUCAGUUCUCCUGUUUUUCUACUUUUAAUACAAAGUCCUGUAGAUGAGAAUUCAACAAGACAAGGAAGAUUAUCAGUUAACUUUGCAAUAGACAUUAUAUUUUUCUUUAUCUUAGUUACAACCAGCACAUCUUUGAGUGAAACUUUGUUAUAAUUAACUAUUAGAUUAGUUGAAACAACAUGAGUGAUGUCAAGUCUCUGUCCAUUGCCAACCAUAAUUUUGUCUGAUCCGAAGUAUUUAUUAAUAGAAGAGAGUUUACUAGGAUCAUGAGUCAUAUGUGAGCUUGCUCCAGUAUCUGGAAGCCAUUGAUCUCUUGAGAAUUGUUAAGAGUUAUAGCAGCUAAGGCCUGUGGAAUUUUCUUAUAUUGAUAAGCUUUAUUAAAUCUGUUGUAACACUCAAGAGCUGUAUGGCAUGGUAUAUUGCAUAUUUGGCAACAAAUCAGCAUAUUGCCUUUGUGAGCCAAUGACAAGGAGGAGGAAGAAAUUCAAAUGGAAGUGGCAAAUUUCUGGGUAAUCAAUUGACCUCCAGAGGAAAAGGCUUCACUCUAACAACUUCAUCUUUAUCUAACAAACUAACAUCUAACAUCUUCAUCUUUAUCUAACGAAU
rnacentral:misc_RNA from 1 species